rnacentral:rRNA from 1 species
UACGUAGGGUGCGAGCGUUGUCCGGAAUUAUUGGGCGUAAAGGGCUCGUAGGCGGUCUGUCGCGUCGGGAGUGAAAACUCAGGGCUUAACCCUGAGCCUGCUUCCGAUACGGGCAGACUAGAGGUAUGCAGGGGAGAACGGAAUUCCUGGUGUAGCGGUGGAAUGCGCAGAUAUCAGGAGGAACACCGGUGGCGAAGGCGGAUCUCUGGGCCGUAACUGACGCUGAGGAGCGAAAGCAUGGGGAGCGAACAGG